GAUGAACGCUGGCGGCGUGCCUAAUACAUGCAAGUCGAGCGAAUGGAUUAAGAGCUUGCUCCUAUGAAGUUAGCGGCGGACGGGUGAGUAACACGUGGGUAACCUGCCCAUAAGACUGGGAUAACUCCGGGAAACCGGGGCUAAUACCGGAUAACAUUUUGAACCGCAUGGUUCGAAAUUGAAAGGCGGCUUCGGCUGUCACUUAUGGAUGGACCCGCGUCGCAUUAGCUAGUUGGUGAGGUAACGGCUCACCAAGGCAACGAUGCGUAGCCGACCUGAGAGGGUGAUCGGCCACACUGGGACUGAGACACGGCCCAGACUCCUACGGGAGGCAGCAGUAGGGAAUCUUCCGCAAUGGACGAAAGUCUGACGGAGCAACGCCGCGUGAGUGAUGAAGGCUUUCGGGUCGUAAAACUCUGUUGUUAGGGAAGAACAAGUGCUAGUUGAAUAAGCUGGCACCUUGACGGUACCUAACCAGAAAGCCACGGCUAACUACGUGCCAGCCGCCGUAAUAC
rnacentral:rRNA from 1 species